GAUGAACGCUGGCGGCGUGCCUAAUACAUGCAAGUCGAGCGAACAGACGAGGAGCUUGCUCCUCUGACGUUAGCGGCGGACGGGUGAGUAACACGUGGAUAACCUACCUAUAAGACUGGGAUAACUUCGGGAAACCGGAGCUAAUACCGGAUAAUAUAUUGAACCGCAUGGUUCAAUAGUGAAAGACGGUUUUGCUGUCACUUAUAGAUGGAUCCGCGCCGCAUUAGCUAGUUGGUAAGGUAACGGCUUACCAAGGCAACGAUGCGUAGCCGACCUGAGAGGGUGAUCGGCCACACUGGAACUGAGACACGGUCCAGACUCCUACGGGAGGCAGCAGUAGGGAAUCUUCCGCAAUGGGCGAAAGCCUGACGGAGCAACGCCGCGUGAGUGAUGAGGGUCUUCGGAUCGUAAAACUCUGUUAUUAGGGAAGAACAAAUGUGUAAGUAACUAUGCACGUCUUGACGGUACCUAAACAGAAAGCCACGGCUAACUACGUG
rnacentral:rRNA from 1 species